rnacentral:rRNA from 1 species
CCUACGGGAGGCAGCAGUGGGGAAUAUUGGGCAAUGGGCGCACGCCUGACCCAGCAACGCCGCGUGAAGGAAGAAGGCUUUCGGGUUGUAAACUUCUUUUGACCGGGAAGAGUAGAAGACGGUACCGUAAGAAUACGCCACGGCUAACUACGUGCCAGCAGCCGCGGUAAUCCGUAGGUGGCAAGCGUUAUCCGGAUUUACUGGGUGUAAAGGGCGAGUAGGCGGGAGUGCAAGUCAGAUGUGAAAACUAUGGGCUUAACCGAUAGAGUGCAUUUGAAACUGCAGUUCUUGAGUGAUGGAGAGGCAGGCGGAAUUCCCGGUGUAGCGGUGGAAUGCGUAGAUAUCGGGAGGAACACCAGUGGCGAAGGCGGCCUGCUGGACAUUAACUGACGCUGAGGCGCGAAAGCGUGGGGAGCAAACAGGAUUAGAUACCCGGGUAGUC